rnacentral:lncRNA from 1 species
GUCCGGCCGUUCUGCUAUCGAUAGUGCACCUACGUUUAGUGCUACCAAAUUUUUCACCGUUAGAUCUAAUCCUUUAAUCAAUUUUCAUCCGUUAAAUCAUACUAUUCAAAUCAACCAUCCACUCAACACUAUAGUUAGUUAAUUAGGAUUCGGCAAAAAUUCAGUAUGAGUAUAAUUCGAAUAAAAUUCGUAUCUCAAUUUUUAAUUUGUUAAAAAAUACGGUUUAAAAAACGGAUUCACCAAUUAUUCGAAUAAGCGAUUUAUACGGAUAUUAUAUGUUCACCAAUUAACAAUUCGGGAUAAAAAAUUUGACUAUUAAACUAAGAUUUUUUUCUCUAGAUUUAUGCUAUUAGCAUACAUAGUUAUAAAUUCUUAAAAAUAUAUAAAAAAAAGAGAGCUACAAAAUAAAGUAAAUUAAGUAAAAAAAGGAAGGCCUUUUUGCAAAAAAAAUCCACUUAUUUUGGGCUUUUGCAAAACCGGGUCACCUUUUUCGUUUUUGCAAAUUCGGUCCGCUUUUUCAGCAAACUGACCAAAAUACCCUUAUUACUUUUUCUCUUUCCUCUUUCUCUCUCCUCUUCGUUUCUUCCUUCUUUUUUUUU